CCUACGGGUGGCAGCAGUGGGGAAUAUUGCACAAUGGGCGCAAGCCUGAUGCAGCAACGCCGCGUGCGGGAAGAAGGCCCUAGGGUUGUAAACCGCUUUCAGCAGGGAAGAAAAUGACGGUACCUGCAGAAGAAGGUGCGGCCAACUACGUGCCAGCAGCCGCGGUGACACGUAGGCACCAAGCGUUGUCCGGAUUUAUUGGGCGUAAAGAGCUCGUAGGCGGUUCAGUAAGUCGGGUGUGAAAACUCAGGGCUCAACCCUGAGAGGCCACUCGAUACUGCUGUGACUGGAGUACGGUAGGGGAGCGGGGAAUUCCUGGUGUAGCGGUGAAAUGCGCAGAUAUCAGGAGGAACACCAGUGGCGAAGGCGCCGCUCUGGGCCGUAACUGACGCUGAGGAGCGAAAGCGUGGGUAGCAAACAGGAUUAGAUACCCUGGUAGU
rnacentral:rRNA from 1 species